rnacentral:tRNA from 1 species
GCCGCCUUAGCUCAGUCGGUAGAGCAAUGCAUUCGUAAUGCAUGGGUCGCGUGUUCGAGUCACGCAGGCGGCA